rnacentral:rRNA from 1 species
GAUGAACGCUAGCGGCAGGCUUAAUACAUGCAAGUCGUGGGGCAGCAGCUCUGUAGCAAUACAGAGGCUGGCGACCGGCAAACGGGUGCGGAACACGUACGCAAUCUACCCAAAACUGGUGAAUAGCCCUCCGAAAGGAGGAUUAAUACACCGUAACUUAUUAGAGUGGCAUCACUUUAUUAAUAUAGCUCCGGCGGUUUUGGAUGAGCGUGCGCCUGAUUAGGAGUUUGGCGGAGUAAUAGCCCACCAAGCCAUCGAUCAGUAACUGGUGUGAGAGCACGACCAGUCACACGGGCACUGAGACACGGGCCCGACUCCUACGGGAGGCAGCAGUAAGGAAUAUUGGUCAAUGGACGAAAGUCUGAACCAGCCAUGCCGCGUGAAGGAUGAAGGUCCUCUGAUUGUAAACUUCUUUAUCUGGGAACGAAAAGGUACNUUCUUGAUCACUUGACGGUACCAGAGGAAUAAGCACCGGCUAACUCCGUGCCA